UACGUAGGGGGCAAGCGGUGUUCGGAAUCACUGGGCGUAAAGCGCGUGUAGGCGGCUUGGCAAGUCGGGUGUGAAAUCCCGAGGCUCAACCUCGGAACUGCACUCGAAACUGCCUGGCUCGAGUCCCGGAGAGGGUGGCGGAAUUCCCGGUGUAGGGGUGAAAUCCGUAGAUAUCGGGAGGAACACCAGUGGCGAAGGCGGCCACCUGGACGGUGACUGACGCUGAGACGUGAAAGCGUGGGGAGCAAACAGG
rnacentral:rRNA from 1 species